UACGUAGGGUGCAAGCGUUAAUCGGAAUUACUGGGCGUAAAGCGUGCGCAGGCGGUUUUGUAAGACUGUCGUGAAAUCCCCCGGCUUAACCUGGGAACUGCGUCUGAUACUGGACGGCUUGAGUGCGGGAGAGGGAUGUGGAAUUCCAGGUGUAGCGGUGAAAUGCGUAGAUAUCUGGAGGAACACCGGUGGCGAAGGCGGCAUCCUGGACCGACACUGACGCUGAGGCGCGAAAGCUAGGGUAGCAAACGGG
rnacentral:rRNA from 1 species